rnacentral:rRNA from 1 species
CACGUAGGGCGCAAGCGUUGUCCGGAAUUAUUGGGCGUAAAGAGCUCGUAGGCGGCUUGUCACGUCGGGUGUGAAAGACCGGGGCUUAACCCCGGUUCUGCAUUCGAUACGGGCUGGCUAGAGUGUGGUAGGGGAGAUCGGAAUUCCUGGUGUAGCGGUGAAAUGCGCAGAUAUCAGGAGGAACACCGGUGGCGAAGGCGGAUCUCUGGGCCAUUACUGACGCUGAGGAGCGAAAGCGUGGGGAGCGAACAGG